GACGAACGCUGGCGGCGUGCUUAACACAUGCAAGUCGAACGAUGAAGCUAGAGCUUGCUCUGGUGAAUUAGUGGCGAACGGGUGAGUAACACGUGAGUAACCUGCCCCGAACUCUGGGAUAACUGCUGGAAACGGUAGCUAAUACUGGAUACGACCUACGAAGGCAUCUUCUGUAGGUGGAAAGAAUUUCGGUUCGGGAUGGACUCGCGGCUUAUCAGCUUGUUGGUGAGGUAAUGGCUCACGAAGGCGACGACGGGUAGCCGGCCUGAUAGGGUAGCAGGACACACUGGGAGUGAGACACGGCCCAGACUCCUACGGGAGGCAGGAGUGGGGAAUAUUGCACAAUGGGCGAAAGCCUGAUGCAGCAACGACGCGUGAGGAAUGACGGCCUUCGGGUUGUAAACCUCUUUGAGUAGGGAAGAAGCGAAAGUGACGGUACCUGCAGAAAAAGCACCGGCUAACUACGUGCCAGCAGCCGCCGUAA
rnacentral:rRNA from 1 species